AGAGUUUGAUCCUGGCUCAGAGCGAACGCUGGCGGCAGGCCUAACACAUGCAAGUCGAGCGCCCGUAGCAAUACGGGAGCGGCAGACGGGUGCGUAACGCGUGGGAAUGUACCUCUAGGUACGGAACAACCCAGGGAAACUUGGGCUAAUACCGUAUAAUAUCUUCGGAUCAAAGAUUUAUCGCCUAGAGAUCAGCCCGCGUAGGAUUAGCUAGUUGGUGAGGUAAUGGCUCACCAAGGCAACGAUCCUUAGCUGGUCUGAGAGGAUGAUCAGCCAGACUGGGACUGAGACACGGCCCAGACUCCUACGGGAGGCAGCAGUGGGGAAUUUUGGACAAUGGGGGAAACCCUGAUCCAGCAAUGCCGCGUGUGUGAAGAAGGCCUUCGGGUUGUAAAGCACUUUUGUCCGGAAAGAAAACCUCUUGGAUAAUACCUGAGGGGGAUGACGGUACCGGAAGAAUAAGCACCGGCUAACUACGUGCCAGCAGCCGCGGUAAUC
rnacentral:rRNA from 1 species